UUCUGACAUUCUUAAGAGGAACAUAGCACAAUACAACAGUUUUGUGUCCUUAUCUGUGUGAUUAACCAAAGAUUGACAACUUACAUAUAGUAUUUUAUUUUAUGGUUAAUGACUGCGUUCAUUGCCAACGUGUUGUUUCAGAUCAUGUUAUAAUAUAUUGAUUUUUCUCAAGCUGCAAUACUGUCAGAAAUCCGUUGGGAAAGGAUCUCUGUUUUUGAAUUUUGAUCGCUUUUUCCAAAUUCUGCAUUUUUUAAAAUUGGGAUCGGGAAAUACUCAUACCAUAUCAACUGACCCUUUUAAUUGUGUUGGAUAAAGAAGACGUUUUCAUACUGCAUCUAUAGCCCUUCCCCAUUAAUGCUUUCCUUUAUUUAAAGAAGUUCGAUAGAAUGAUAUGCAUGUUUAUAAAUGAUGCAAUAUGAUGAAAUACAGCCGCUUUUGUUACAUACUUUGUAGAUUGAUAUUUUAUAUAUAUCAUCAGGGGAAAUUUCAUUAAAUUUGCAAAUAAAUAUGUAAAAG
rnacentral:misc_RNA from 1 species